ensembl:lncRNA
GGAAGUUCCCAGGCUAGGGGCUGCAUCUGAACUGUAGCUGCCAGCCUACACCACAGCCAUAGCAAUACCAGAUCCAAGCCAUGGCAGCACAGCUCAUGGCAACAAUGGAUCUUUAACCCACUGAGCAAGGCCAGGGAUCGAACCCACAUCCUCAUAGAUACUAGUUGGGUUCGUUACCUAAAGCUCAGCUAACAAGGGGUGGAAGCAGGCAAGGCCACCCUUAGCCAAUGAGUCCAAUCGUGUUGGGGAGCUGAAAGGGACCUUUAGGGCCCUAAACCAGCAUGUGAACAACCUGAGAAAAUGAGUCAAGACUAUAAUAAUCACACUUUUUCAGGGUUAUCUCCUUAGUUGAGAGAGAUGCUUUUUAAAAUGAGAAAUCUCUCAGGGUGAGCGAGCUUCUGAGCUGAGACAGCAGGCCCACUAUUUCUGGGGGCCGCACAGACAGAAGCUGUCCCAUGGAGGCUGGCCAGCAUCCACAGCUUGGGCGGGUCUCACCUUCCAGCACCCACAAACGAAAGAGUCUGCAGGUUCCCACCUGUGAUCCCAUCUUGCUCACAACAGACAAAGCAGGAGCGGGCAGCCUGCUGGGGAACUAGGAGGAAAGCUGUUUCAUUUCAACUGGGGUUGAGACCAAUGUUGUCAGGUGUCUCGGGUCAAUACUGUCAUUUGCUGCAAUCACCUACCGAAAUGCUUUGUGCUUUGUCAGGCCCGUGAUACUGAACCCCAGGUUCUCUGGGCUAAUUAGGCACAAAAGUUUCUCUCUUGGCUCUGAUCAUGGGCAACCAGAGCAGCUGGGAGUGCACAGCACCCGAGACACUGGCCUUAACGUACAAAUGUCACGAUUCCGCAGGCUGCUGCCUGGACCGCCUGCCCCGCAGGAGGGACACCAGCUUGCUCACGGGGGCCGCCUUUCUUCGCAUCUGCAUCUUAGGACCACCUCUGGGACUCAAUUUUCAUUAGGAAAUUGGGCCCAAAUGCACCCGACUCAGUGAGCAGGUGACUUCCAACAUGCAUCACAGGCUGGGGGGUGGCCUUUAAAAGAAGAUGGGGACCUCUCCCUUGUGAACUACUGUGGCAUUUUCAAAACGGCGAGGUCAAGGCCCUGGUGUCACAGAUAGAGGGAGGAAGGGCGUCUUUUUAUCACGGAGAGCGCAGUACAAUUAUAGCUUCUCACAAAGCUCCUGAAAGAAUCAGACACACAGAGGAAAGCAGCUUGGCUGCAAUUUCAAAGCCCUAAGCAGGUAAGAGCGACAGCCCUGCCUCUGUCUGCCUGGUUGGAAGUUCAGCUUGGAAAUUCUAGAAAGUGUGAUGCCUAAGGCACUCCCCUCCCCAGACAGAGUAGAAAUGAGCCCCUUUUUGAGUCUCAGCAUCACUGUUAGGAUAAGACAAACCCCCACACCUGCAGCGCACCCUUUUAAAGAGCUAUGGUGAAAGGAAACUUUUAUUUCAUCUGAGCAAAUCAGUGUUUCUCAGAUGCCAAGGCCUGAUCCCACUUUCAGAGACACACAGCUUUGCUAGACGGGGCUUUUAUAUAUUUUGUCUCCACUAUGAUGAUAUUAUUUUAGCAAUAAUAUGCAGUUGACCCUUGAAUAAUGUGGGUUUGAACUGCACAGGUCCAUGUACACAGGGGUUUUUUUCAAUAAAUGCACUGGAAACGUUUUUGGCAAUUUGCAACAAUUUGGAAAAAACUCGCAGAUAAACUGCAUAGCCUAGAAAUAGCGAAGAAGAAAAAGCUAAGCAUGAAUGCAUAAAAUAUACAUGGAUAUAAAAAUAACAUACAAAAUACGUGUUAACUGUUAUCGCGAAGGCGAACAGUGGGCUAUUGGGAGUUAAGCUUGGGGGAGGGGAGUCAAAAGGUAUCCACAGAUUUUUCAAUGCACGGGGGGUUGGCGCCUCUAAAGCCUUUAUAGUCCAAGGGUCAAAUGUCCUUAUAUUCUCUAGCAUCUGAAGACUCUAUAAAAACUAAGAACUGCGCCAUCAUUCGGGGUCGCUGAAUGCAGACGUGCAAAUGUCUCUGUGUAAGGAGAGCUUUAUUAGAACAGAGAGGGACCAUCAGUGAGAAGGUAGUGACCCCAGUGAGGCCCACUGGCCCCAAGGUGCUGCUCAAACAGGUGUUUCCCAGCAAUGUGACCUGAGGAGAGCAGUGGGUGGGUGGGGUCAGCACGCAGAUCCCCGGCGGUGUGGUGGUGUGGUAGGCAGUGCGGUAGGUGGCACGUGAUACGUUGGGAGAAGCCACCAAACCCGACUGUGGGCAAAGGGGUGGUUUCAGAAAAAGCAGCAUCCGUCCGCUGUGUUAACUGAUGAUUCUGACUAGGAAUGAUUUGGUAAGUGCUUGCCAUGUAAAAGUCCUUAAUCUUUUUUUAACCUUUAUGAGACACAGAAGAACAAAGAUGGUUUAUCUAGUAUUAACUUGGCUCAUGCUUCAGUCAUAUUAGCAUGAAAGUAAUAUAUGUCGGUACCAGCGGGAGCCUGCGAGAAGGUUCCUUGAGUUCACUGCCCACAUGCUAAAGAAAGCCCGACAGGGACCACUCUAGCUCCGGAACACCUGAACAGCAUUCUUUUCCUUGGAUCAAAAGGCACCAAAGAAUAAAGCCGAUCCUAUCCUGCAAUUUUUUCCUGGCCUCAUAUCAACAACGCUUAUUGACUCGCUCUCUUGCAAGCCCUUUCAAUCCCCAAAGCCUCGGCCGAAUCGCUACAUCAGCGCCUUCUGGGCUCAGGGAGUACAGCCCGUCCCCAGUGUCCAGGACACAGACACACACUGCAGCCCAACCGCCGAAGAGAGAAGGAAGGAUGGGCCCACAGGCGGCUGGGUCGGCUACUCACAGGAAGAAGGGCAUCAGCUGGACCAGGGUUUCCUUCUGGGGGCUGGCGGCGAACUCGGGGACCACCUGGAUGACCUUGUUCAUGACGUUGCGCAGGUAGGUCUGG